rnacentral:lncRNA from 1 species
CUCUCCCCAGAUACCACAGCAAAGCACUCUCCCCUUAGAUUUCGCACCCUCUGGAGCAUCUUCCUGGAUUUUUUUUUCCAGUAGCAGGGAUUGAACUCAGGACCUUGAGCUUUACAAGAAUGUAUGGUGUUUUCAAGUGAAGAAUGCAGGGACUUGUCAGGAUUUUCUGCAACCCAGAUUUCUAUGAAAAGGGCUCUAAGAAGACACAGAAAGAUGUCAAAGGAUAUCGGCAAAGCCAGAACCCCAGUUACUGCUCCUGACAGCUUACAUCCAGUGGGGAGAGAUGCUGAUAAACGCAGCAGAUAAAGGCACAUCAGGAGCUGACAAGCUGGGAGGGACAGUGUGGCAAGAUAAG